rnacentral:lncRNA from 1 species
AUCAAGGUAAGUCUACUGAAAUCACAAAAUUUGAAACAAUAAGCGCUAAUAGUUGUGUUUUCUUUUAAAUUUUAGGCCUUGAUUGUUCAACGAGACGGCCCCCGUCGUGCUGGUUUUCAAGGUGCUCCCUCGCUGCCUAGAAGAUGCUGAUGCGGAAUAGAAAAUGCAAAAACGUCGCUUGCUCAACCGCAAAUUGACGGCUACGCUGAAGCGCAUGCCGUGUCUGCGGAAUUUGAACCCCGAGCUUUCCAGAGUUCCUUGGAAAAUCCUCCCAUGCACCUGCCAUGUACAUUGCCCUCCUCCUCGAUGUGGCGUGCAAGAUGGCAGCAGCAGCUGUGGGAACAGUUGAAGAGGCGAAGAAAGGUCCACUUUAUAAUAGGUUGUAUGUAAAUAAAACUGAUCGACCUCAA